rnacentral:rRNA from 1 species
CUACGGAAGGCAGCAGUGGGGAAUAUUGCGCAAUGGCCGCAAGGCUGACGCAGCGACGCCGCGUGUGGGAUGACGGCCUUCGGGUUGUAAACCACUGUCGGGAGGGACGAAUACAGGGCGUCGAAUAGGCGACCCUGGGUGACGGUACCUCCAAAGGAAGCACCGGCUAACUCCGUGCCAGCAGCCGCGGUAAUACGGAGGGUGCGAGCGUUGUCCGUAAUCACUGGGCGUAAUGGGCGCGUAGGUGGCCCGAUAAGUUGCUGGUGAAAUCCCGGGGCUCAACUCCGGGGCUGCCGGUAAGACUGUCGGGCUCGAGCACGGUAGAGGCAGAUGGAAUUCCCGGUGUAGCGGUGGAAUGCGUAGAUAUCAGGAAGAAUACCAGUGGCGAAGGCGUUCUGCUGGGCCGUUGCUGACACUGAGGCGCGACAGCGUGGGGAGCAAACAGGAUUAGAUACCCCGGUAGC